rnacentral:rRNA from 1 species
GACAGAGGGUGCAAACGUUGUUCGGAAUUACUGGGCGUAAAGCGUGUGUAGGCGGCUUGCUAAGUCGGAUGUGAAAGCCCCGGGCUCAACCGGGAAGUGCACUCGAUACUGCAGGCUUGAGUGACUGGAGAGGUUGGUGGAAUUCUCGGUGUAGAGGUGAAAUUCGUAGAUAUCGAGAGGAACACCGGUGGCGAAGGCGGCCAACUGGACGAGUACUGACGCUGAGACACGAAAGCGUGGGGAGCAAACAGG